rnacentral:lncRNA from 1 species
GUAGGUGUAGGUUAGGAUGUGUCUUCUGGUCGUGGUCUACUAGUUGGGGCCGAGGGAAGAAGAUGACGAUUCCAAUUUCAGUAGCCACUCUCUAGGCUUAUGAACUGAAAGACCAAGGAGCACAAUUUCCGAGUUUCAAAGAUACUUUCAAACUGAAAGGAACUGUUCGCCAGCUGCUCGCGAAGUGGCCCAUGUGACCCCUAGUGAACGGUCUAAACUUCCGCUAGAUGCUUUGGGAAUUCGUAAAGCGACUGCGUGCGCGGCAGCCAAGCCACAGCUUUACAGGGUUCGCCUUCUGUGUGGGAACGCAGCUUUUCCCGAGAAAUUGGGUUAGGGAUUAAAGAGAAGAACUGCAUCCUUUUUACUGCCCUUUUUCCACGUCUGUCCUGGGCUUAGGGCCCUCCUCAGAGGCCAGAGGGGUAGGCGAGUCCGGGGCGGUAGGGGGCUGCGUCCGGAAGUCCAGGCUGCGUUCUGUCCACCCUGCCCACCCUUAGGGGGCAGGACAGGAAUAAGGUCACCUCACCAAAGAGGCCCAUCAACAUGGAAGAAUAUUUCAGUGAAUCUUGACUCACCAAGCUCAGUGACUUUUCAUUGAAAAGGGAGAGCAGAUUACAUUAUCAAAAGCACCAAGUUGAAACAUUUGCAAGGUGUGCAUCAUUUCACAAUUAUUGGCAAUGGUUCAAUGGUUUCAUCUGCUUUGAACGGUUUCUUCUCUAUCAUUAAGAGACCUGUUAUGAAUAUGUAGCUGGAGACACUUUCC